rnacentral:rRNA from 1 species
GUGGGGAAUUUUGGACAAUGGGCGCAAGCCUGAUCCAGCAAUGCCGCGUGCAGGAAGAAGGCCUUCGGGUUGUAAACUGCUUUUGUACGGAACGAAACGGUCCGGGUUAAUACCCUGGGCUAAUGAUGGUACCGUAAGAAUAAGCACCGGCUAACUACGUGCCAGCAGCCGCGGUAAUACGUAGGGUGCAAGCGUUAAUCGGAAUUACUGGGCGUAAAGCGUGCGCAGGCGGUUUUGUAAGACAGGCGUGAAAUCCCCGGGCUCAACCUGGGAAUUGCGCUUGUGACUGCAAGGCUGGAGUGCGGCAGAGGGGGAUGGAAUUCCGCGUGUAGCAGUGAAAUGCGUAGAUAUGCGGAGGAACACCGAUGGCGAAGGCAAUCCCCUGGGCCUGCACUGACGCUCAUGCACGAAAGCGUGGGGAGCAAACAGGAUUAGAUACCCGUGUAGUCC